AAAUCAGUUAUCGUUUAUUUGAUAGUACCUUACUACUUGGAUAACCGUGGUAAUUCUAGAGCUAAUACAUGCUAAAAACCUCGACUUCGGAAGGGGUGUAUUUAUUAGAUAAAAAACCAAUGCCCUUCGGGGCUCCUUGGUGAUUCAUAAUAACUUAACGAAUCGCAUGGCCUUGUGCCGGCGAUGGUUCAUUCAAAUUUCUGCCCUAUCAACUUUCGAUGGUAGGAUAGUGGCCUACCAUGGUUUCAACGGGUAACGGGGAAUUAGGGUUCUAUUCCGGAGAGGGAGCCUGAGAAACGGCUACCACAUCCAAGGAAGGCAGCAGGCGCGCAAAUUACCCAAUCCCGACACGGGGAGGUAGUGACAAUAAAUACUGAUACAGGGCUCUUUUGGGUCUUGUAAUUGGAAUGAGUACAAUUUAAAUCCCUUAACGAGGAACAAUUGGAGGGCAAGUCUGGUGCCAGCAGCCGCGGUAAUUCCAGCUCCAAUAGCGUAUAUUAAAGUUGUUGCAGUUAAAAAGCUCGUAGUUGAACCUUGGGCCUGGCUGGCCGGUCCGCCUCACCGCGUGCACUGGUCCGGCCGGGUCUUUCCUUCUGGGGAGCCGCAUGCCCUUCACUGGGUGUGUCGGGGAACCAGGACUUUUACUUUGAAAAAAUUAGAGUGUUCAAAGCAGGCCUAUGCUCGAAUACAUUAGCAUGGAAUAAUAGAAUAGGACGUGUGGUUCUAUUUUGUUGGUUUCUAGGACCGCCGUAAUGAUUAAUAGGGAUAGUCGGGGGCAUCAGUAUUCAAUUGUCAGAGGUGAAAUUCUUGGAUUUAUUGAAGACUAACUACUGCGAAAGCAUUUGCCAAGGAUGUUUUCAUUAAUCAGUGAACGAAAGUUAGGGGAUCGAAGACGAUCAGAUACCGUCGUAGUCUUAACCAUAAACUAUGCCGACUAGGGAUCGGGCGAUGUUAUCUUUUUG
rnacentral:rRNA from 1 species